UUUGCAUAUCAAGUUAACUUUUUAUUUUUAUUCCUCUAAAAUCCUGCGAUAUUCAUAUUUAUCUCUUUGAUUUAUCACCAUUAGAGCACUAUUUAUUUUUUAACAGUGGAUAAGUGAAAUGAUAUUUUUAUGCUUAUAAAUAUAAUCAUCCGAAAACCCUAACUGUUAGAAUAUGCAGAAAUGUCAUACAAAAAAAAUAGGAAAAAUUUCUUCAAUACCCUUCCAAGUAGUUCUAAUUUCACGAAUACCCUUCAAAAUUUUAAAAUUUCAUAUUUGCCCUCCAAAAGUAUGGAAAAGUUUCAAAAAUACCCUCACUGUUAGCAAUACGUUAUAUUAGUUUCAAAAUACCAAUUUUACCCUCUAUUUUAAUUUAAUCACCACUCUCAUAAUUUUUUU
rnacentral:lncRNA from 1 species